UACAGAGGGUGCGAGCGUUGUCCGGAAUCACUGGGCGUAAAGGGCGCGUAGGUGGCGCUGCAAGUCGGUGGUGAAAGCUCGUCGCUUAACGACGAGUCGGCCAUCGAAACUGCAGGGCUCGAGCACUGUAGGGGCUAAUGGAAUUCCGGGUGUAGCGGUGGAAUGCGUAGAGAUCCGGAAGAACACCAGUGGCGAAGGCGGUUAGCUGGGCAGUUGCUGACACUGAUGCGCGACAGCGUGGGGAGCAAACGGG
rnacentral:rRNA from 1 species